rnacentral:rRNA from 1 species
CAAUAGCGUAUAUUAAAGUUGUUGCGGUUAAAAGCUCGUAGUUGGAUUUCUGCCGAGGACGACCGGUCCGCCCUCUGGGUGAGUAUCUGGCUCGGCCUGGGCAUCUUCUUGGAGAACGUAUCUGCACUUGACUGUGUGGUGCGGUAUCCAGGACUUUUACUUUGAGGAAAUUAGAGUGUUUCAAGCAGGCAUACGCCUUGAAUACAUUAGCAUGGAAUAAUAAGAUAGGACCUUGGUGGUUUAUUUUGUUGGUUUGCACGCCGAGGUAAUGAUUAAUAGGGAUAGUUGGGGGUAGUUCGUAUUCAAUUGUCAGAGGUGAAAUUACUUGGAUUUAUUGGAAGACGAACUACUGCGAAAGACAUUUACCUAAGGAAUGUUUUCUAUUAAUCAAGAACGAAAGUUAAGGGGAGUCGAAGACGAUCAGAUACCGUCUGAGACUACCAAGG